rnacentral:rRNA from 1 species
UUCGCAAUGCCCGAAAGGGUGACGAUGCGACGCCGCGUGGAGGAUGAAGGCCUUCGGGUUGUAAACUCCUGUCAGGGCAAAAGAAGGGAAGGGGAGGAAACUCCCUGACCUUGACUCAGCCCAAAGGAAGCCCCGGCUAACUCCGUGCCAGCAGCAGCGGUAAAACGGAGAGGGCGAGCGUUGUUCGGAAUUACUGGGCGUAAAGAGCACGUAGGCGGCCUUGCAAGUCAGUUGUGAAAGCCUUCCGCUCAACGGAAGAAUGCCAGCUGAUACUACAGGGCUUGAGUACGGGAGGGGAGAGUGGAACUUCUGGUGGAGCGGUGAAAUGCGUAGAUAUCAGAAGGAACGCCGGCGGCGAAAGCGACUCUCUGGCCCGAAACUGACGCUGAGUGUGCGAAAGCUAGGGGAGCAAACGGGAUUAGAUACCCCGGUAGUCCUAGCCGUAAACGAUGGGCACUAAGUAGAGGGGUUUU